rnacentral:snoRNA from 1 species
CUAGAUGAUGAUUUUACAAAAACAAAGCUGGAAUUACUGGCUGAUUCUCUGUGAUGUAUAAGUUUUUGCUAUAACUGAUA